UGUGAAAUCCAAAAAGGUUACUUUUACCUCAACAAGGUGAAAAUCACCUCACAACGAGGUAAAGUUUACCUGAAUCGAGCAGACGAAAAACGUAGAAUUCACUUAGAAAAAAGGAAUAAGUUUUGUUUGGUGCGCAAUAUGUGAAAAUAGGAACAAAAUGAUUGGCCUACUGAGCACGAAGUGUUUUCUUCAUCAUUCCGGAACAGCCAAAGUUAUCCCCCAGCAGCCGGAUGAGUCGAACGGAGAAGGGACGAAAUAUGCUAAUUGUAAGAGGAUUCAGCGGCCAUGGUGGACACGGAAAGGCAGCGUUGAUGGCAAUAGUGUUUUCCUCCGAAAAAACGGAACAUUCCAGGAAAAAAACGGAGAAGAACAUUAUUAUAACAUAGAUUCCCA